rnacentral:rRNA from 1 species
GACGAACGCUGGCGGCAUGCCUAAUACAUGCAAGUCGAGCGAACAGAUGAAGUGCUUGCACUUCUGACGUUAGCGGCGAACGGGUGAGUAACACGUAAGGAAUCUACCUAUAAGCGGGGGAUAACAUUCGGAAACGGGUGCUAAUACCGCGUAAUAUCUUCUUCCGCAUGGAAGAAGAUUGAAAGACGGCUCUGCUGUCACUUAUAGAUGACCUUGCGGUGCAUUAGUUAGUUGGGGGGGUAACGGCCUACCGAGACGAUGAUGCAUAGCCGACCUGGGAGGGUGAUCGGCCAAAUUGGGACUGAGACACGGCCCAAACUCAUACGGGAGGCAGCAGUAGGGAAUCUUCCGCAAUGGGCAAAAGCCUGACGGAGCAAUGCCGCGUAAGUGAAGAAGGCCUUCGGGUCGUAAAACUCUGUUAUAAGAGAAGAACAAAUUGUAGAGUAACUGCUACAGUCUUGACGGUAUCUUAUCAGAAAGCCACGGCUAACUACGUGCCAGCAGCCGCCGUAA